rnacentral:rRNA from 1 species
UACGGGGGGUGCAAGCGUUGUUCGGAAUUAUUGGGCGUAAAGAGCGUGUAGGCGGCUGGAUUAGUCAGAUGUGAAAGCCCUGGGCUUAACCCAGGAAGUGCAUUUGAAACUGUCCGGCUUGAGUAAGGGAGAGGAAAGUGGAAUUCCUGGUGUAGAGGUGAAAUUCGUAGAUAUCAGGAGGAACACCGGUGGCGAAGGCGACUUUCUGGCCCUAUACUGACGCUGAGACGCGAGAGCGUGGGUAGCAAACAGGAUUAGAUACCCUGGUAGUCCACGCGGUAAACGAUGUUCACUAGGUGUUGGGGGUAUUGACCCUCUCAGUGCCGCAGCUAACGCAAUAAGUGAACCGCCUGGGGAGUACGGUCGCAAGAUUA